AGGAAACGUCUUGUAUUAUUAUGUAUUCUGUGUCUGUAUGAGUGUAUGUAUAACUUACACUAGUACUGUGAUUGUGCGGAGGUGUUUCAGAACAAAUAUGGCUUUACCAAAACUUAGUAAUGUUAAUGACGACGUAUCGAAAUAUCUUUGUAUCAACGAAUAUUCUAACCCAAUUGCAAAAUAUAUUUCGACGAAUUCCCAAAGAGAACCGGAUAUUCUGCGACGAUUAUACGAGGUGGGUUCGUCGAAGUCAUCAUUUACUUCAUGAGUGCAUAUUGGCAGCCUAAUUGCUAGGUCUAUUAAAUCAUCAGUCAACAGAAUAACAAAGUUAGAAAUGAGUUGAUCUAUGCAGGCAUUUUCCACUAAAUGAAUAAAGUCAUCUCCAUCUUUCAUGUCCCAGCAUAGCUAUACAUAUACCAAUCCAUUGUCAUUUAUAUUGUAUUAUUCGGGGUGGCCUCACUUAUAAACUAAUGGCUUCUUGUGGUCUCCCCGCCACACUCCUGUUUGUUUUAAUGUUCUUUACUGACAUUUUGUUUAUUUGUUUGUUUGUUUGUUUUUGACUAAACUAACCUAUUAUUAGUUUAUAAAUGUCGCGUUAAAUUGUAUUAAACAUCUUUAAAAGCCUUUAAAGUUCCAACAAUUUUGUACAUGCAUUGAUUUAUACUCGAAAUAAUUUUUUUAUUCGCAAGACAAUCUACUGUUUUGCUUUGAAUAACUAUAUUUGCGAAUCGGGAUUGAGGAUUUUGAAAUUAUUGUUCAAGUAUUACGGCUAUACCAUUAAAUUUUGUAAACAAUGUUGAUUUUAUACAGCACUGUACGGGCUAAUAAUAUAUGUAUCCGUUUUAUUUAAUAAAUUAUAAUUGUAUAUGUGUUUGUAUAUUUUACAAACACAAGACUGCUUCUUGCCAAAAUUGAGAAAAUAUAUAUUAAUGUAGUUGUGUAUAAGACAAAAUUUCAUGAAAGAUUCUACUUUUGCUAUAUAUUUUGACCUAUUUUGUGCUUUCGCUACACCUUGUCAACAUUAAAUAAUAGUGUUGCUUCAAACUUUAUGAUAAAAAACCCCGAUUUUCUAG